GGGCCCGACGUUUGAUCCUGGCUCAGAUUGAACGCUGGCGGCAUGCUUUACACAUGCAAGUCGAGCGGCAGCGCGGGACUCAGGCAACUGAGCCCUGGCGGCGAGCGGCGAACGGGUGAGUAAUGCAUCGGAACGUGUCCCGUGGUGGGGGAUAACGCCGCGAAAGCGGCGCUAAUACCGCAUAUGCUCCACGGAGGAAAGCCGGGGACCCGCAAGGGCCUGGUGCCAUGGGAGCGGCCGAUGUCCGAUUAGCUAGUUGGUGGGGUAAUGGCUCACCAAGGCGACGAUCGGUAGCUGGUCUGAGAGGAUGAUCAGCCACACUGGGACUGAGACACGGCCCAGACUCCUACGGGAGGCAGCAGUGGGGAAUUUUGGACAAUGGGGGCAACCCUGAUCCAGCCAUGCCGCGUGCGGGAAGAAGGCCUUCGGGUUGUAAACCGCUUUUAGCCGGGAAGAAAAGGCAAGGGCUAAUACCUCUUGUUUUUGACGGUACCGGCGGAAUAAGCACCGGCUAACUACGUGCCAGCAGCCGCGGUAAUACGUAGGGUGCGAGCGUUAAUCGGAAUUACUGGGCGUAAAGCGUGCGCAGGCGGUUCGUUGUGUCGGCGGUGAAAGCCCCGGGCUUAACCUGGGAAUGGCCGUUGAAACUGGCGAACUGGAGUGUGGCAGAGGGGGGUGGAAUUCCGCGUGUAGCAGUGAAAUGCGUAGAGAUGCGGAGGAAUACCGAUGGCGAAAGGCAGCCCCCUGGGCUGACACUGACGCUCAGGCACGAAAGCGUGGGAGCAAACAGGAUUAGAUACCCUGGGUAGUCCACGCCCUAAACUAUGUCAACUGGGUGUUCGGGAAGCGAUUUCUGA
rnacentral:rRNA from 1 species